GCGAACGUUAGCGGCAGGCUUAACACAUGCAAGUCGAGCGAGAAAGGGGCUUCGGCUCCGAGUAAAGCGGCGGACGGGUGCGUAACACGUGGAUAAUCUGCCUCGUGGCGGGGGACAACAGUCCGAAAGGACUGCUAAUACCGCAUGUCAGGUCGGAAACUCCGGUUUCUGACGAAAAAGAGGGCGUCCGCAAGGAGCUCUCACCACGAGAUGAGUCCGCGUCCCAUCAGCUAGUUGGCGGUGUAAUGGACCACCAAGGCUUAGACGGGUAGCUGGUCUGAGAGGAUGACCAGCCACACUGGGACUGAGACACGGCCCAGACUCCUACGGGAGGCAGCAGUGGGGAAUAUUGGACAAUGGGCGAAAGCCUGAUCCAGCCAUGCCGCGUGAGUGAUGAAGGCC
rnacentral:rRNA from 1 species